CCAACGGGAGCGGCAGUGGCAAUGGCAGGUAUCUAUCUAUCCACUAUCUCUGUCCUCCGCUGGUUUCGUUUAAACCUCCCUUAAACCCUCUAAAUCCCUUCUCUUCCACAAUCUUAUGUUAUUGCCUUCAAACCCAUUACAAUAUGCAAAUUUCUAUGGCCAUUUCGCCACUCACACCUCCUCAAUUGUUUCCAUUUCAUCAACCCAUUUUCCACACACCCAAACCUCAUGGAUUUGCUUUCCAAACCCAUGUCAAUCCUCUAAACUCCUUCACAGAUUCCGGUCUUUUAUCCACAAUCGGCGUCGAGGAAGAGUACCGGAGGGCGCGGUCACAGGUUAAUCGGAAGGGGGUGGACUUGGAAGGCUACUCAAUCGAGGGAAUUUCAGUUGGUGGCCAAGAAACUUGUGUUAUUGUUCCUGAAUUCAAGUGUGCAUUUGAUAUUGGGAGGUGCCCAUCUCGAGCCAUUCAGCAGAACUUUGUAUUUAUCACUCACGCCCACCUUGAUCACAUUGGUGGGCUACCAAUGUAUGUAGCUAGUCGUGGUUUGUAUAGUUUAAGUCCUCCUACAGUAUUUGUUCCUCCUUGUGUUAGAGAAGAUGUGGAGAAACUUCUUGAUAUUCACAGGACCAUGGGCCAGGUGGACUUGGACGUGGAUCUGGUUGCACUAGAUGUAGGAGAAACAUAUGAAAUGCGAAAUAAUCUCGUCUGCAGAGCAUUUAAAACUCACCAUGUGAUACCGAGCCAGGGUUAUGUCAUUUAUUCAGUUAGAAAAAAAUUGAAGAAGCAAUACAUACAUCUUAAGGGGAAACAGAUUGAGAAGCUAAAGAAAUCUGGUGUCGAGAUUACAGACACUAUAUUGUCCCCGGAGGUGGCCUUCACAGGAGAUACAACGACAGAUUUUAUGCUUGAUCCACGUAAUGCUGAUGCUUUGCGGGCAAAAGUUCUUAUAACUGAGGCAACUUUUCUGGAUGAAGGGGCCAGCAUAGAACAUGCACGGCAACAUGGUCAUACUCACUUAUUUGAGAUUAUUGAAAAUGCUCAGUGGAUUCGAAAUAAGGCGAUUCUGUUGACUCAUUUUUCAUCCCGAUACCAUUUAGAGGACAUCCGUAAAGCAGUAUCAAAGUUGCAGUCGAAGGUGACAGCAAAAGUGGUUCCUCUCACUGAAGGUUUCAAGUCAGUGUAUUAAUGUAGGCUAUGGAUCCAAGGUUACAAAGUGUAAUUAUUUAUCAUCAAAGCAGAGAAACUGGAGUGUAGGAGACACAGGGAAAUUCCCGGUUUCGGCCUCGGUAGUCUGAAGGUUUGGCUAGUUGAGUACAGUACCAAUACACUGCAUAUCAUGAAAGUGAUGGGAGACCCAAAAUGCAGUUCAACCACAGAAUAGAACCAAAGAGAGUGAGUAAUGUACUUUCCUGUUUUUAUGAGGUCGCGUCAUUUCUAUCAAAUUUUCGACUUGGAAUAUUACAGGUUUUGAGACUCAUUUAGGAUUGGAAAUCAAAUUUAUAAUGUUGUUGAACUUGAAUGAAGGCACAUGAAUAAUGAAUCUGGAUAUUUUGGUUUCA